rnacentral:misc_RNA from 1 species
GAUGAAGAACGUAGCGAAAUGCGAUACGUAAUGUGAAUUGCAGAAUUCAGUGAAUCAUCGAAUCUUUGAACGCAUAUUGCGCUCUCUGGUAUUCCGGAGAGCAUGCUUGUUUGAGUAUCAGUAAACACCUCAACUCCCCUUUCUUUUUUUGAAAUGGGAGCUGGACUUGAGUGAUCCCAACGCUUUUCUCACCGAAAAGUGGCGGGUUACUUGAAAUGCAGGUGCAGCUGGACUUUUCUCUGAGCUAAAAGCAUAUCUAUUUAGUCUGCCUAAAAAACAGAUUAUUACCUUUGCUGCAGCUAACAUAAAGGAGAUUAGUUCUUGUGCUGACUGAUGCAGGAUUCACAGAGACAGCUUCGGCUGGCCUCUGUAAACUCGAUCUCAAAUCAAGUAAGACUACCCGCUGAACUUAAGCAUAUCAAUAAGCGGAGGA